rnacentral:piRNA from 1 species
UCCAGAAUAAAGACUUGAGAAAGGAAC